AACUAGAGAAAAAAACAAGUGAGGUAAUUAGCUUAUGAUAGGAUGGGAAAAGGGAGGCGUGAUUCCGCAACUUGCGAACUGAAUAAGAAUGCUCACAUGUUUUGUUUUCGCGCACAUUUCUGCUUGAUUGCAGAAGCGUCAGGUACUUGCAAGGCUGUAAUAAAUUGUUCUUGUUUCCAAGGCUUUGUCUCAGGCUGAUUUCUGAGUGAGUUCUGUUUCUCACACUUGGGGACUCAUCCGGGAUCCAAAACUCCGACCGCUCGACACUCUUGGGACGACGGAGGAGGUGUACCUUGCCGAUUUCGGUGAUCUCCGACUCCCUUGCUUGUUGUUCGCGGUUUGGGCGAGUACCAUCCGGACUGGGAGACCCUGGAAACAAGGCGGGCAGACGCGGCGGGUUCGGUCAGGCAACUCUUGUGCACAAGACCCGGGUAGGGAAAGGUCUUAAAGGAAAUAUCCGGGCGACCGGGAGCAGCGGUAUUUGCUGCAGGAAUUGCCAUGGGACAGGGCACACUGAAACGACCAGGUAACUCUGUGCACAGACCAAGGAAGAAAGGUCUGUUGACCCAGACACCUCCACUUGAGUUCGCAGUACAUCGGAUACGACUGGGUGAUUGGAUCCUGAUAAAGACCUGGAAAGAUACCAAACUGCACCCAAGCUGGGAGGGACCGUUCCUAACCCUCCUGACUACUGAAACAGCCAUCCGAACUGCUGAAAAAGGGUGGAGUCAUCACACUCGUGUUAAGGGCCCGGUGGACACUCCUUCCUCUCCAGCAGCGGGCAAGCACAUCCUUUAGACAAGCCUCUGAAAAUCAAGCUGAGCAAAAAGAAUGGACUGAGAUAAGAGACUAUUAAGUAUUGAUUAAAAAACUGUAUCCCAAAACUUUGCGGGGUGGUUCCCUCAGCCAGCCCCGAAAACUCUGGGUGCUAUCAAUGGCCUUAGAGUUUCCCCACUGAAAGGAGCAGUAAAUACCACUUGUUUCUGUAAUCAGAAUGAUACUACACCCUUCCGAUUAGGAAAUUCAUCUUGUGUCUACACCAGCCAAGCUACUCCCACAACCGUUCCCCAAGUAUUGAAUAGGACAUAUUGGGUGGGUAGCUUAAAGGCCUACCCAUUUAUUCCCGGUGAGAAGUAUGUUUGGAGUGGCGGAUGUAAAGGGAAUGGGUGCUGGGACCAUCCAGUUCAGACACUACCUCAAAACCAGAAAGGUUGGAGUGGCUGCUGCUACCUUGCCUAUAUAAUUCCGCACUUGAGGCUGUUAAAGAGAGCCCCAAAAAUACCUUGGAAUAAACAGGGAGGAAGGCAAGUAACCCAGAAAGUAACCGAAAGAGAUCGCCUCCUCUGGACUUUGAUACCUAUGUAUGGGACUGCUUGAGCAGAAGUAGAAAUACAAAAGUUGGCGGCUUCCCUGGAAGAGUUGGCCAACAAUACUGCUGAUGCGUUGGCCGAAACCCAAUCCCAAGUAGCAGCCAUAACGACCGAUAUGAUUGCCACUAGGCUAAUGACCCUUCAGUACAGGAUGGCUCUAGAUUAGAUUCUGGCAGAGAAGGGUGGUACCUGUGCACUAAUUGGAGAAGAAUUUUGUACGUACAUACCUGAGGUCUCCUCUAACAUCACUGAUAUCUCCAAACAUGUGCAAGACAAAAUCGCCAAGAUAAGGGAGGCCAGUAAUUUGCAUCCUGAAUCAAUCCACCAGGUUUCUUCUAAUCCCAAAAGUUAAGCUUCCUAUGUAGUGAGUCGUACAUUCACCUACUAAGCUGUUAUGUCAAUGUUUGGUUUGGUACCAGUUAUCAGGCCCCUGGGAUCCGAGCUACAGGUCUAAUUGUUGUGGUGAAAAUAAACACCCACGAAUCUGGAGGAUCAGCUAAGCAAAGAUUUUAUUCAAGCGUAUGCAAGGAGAAGGUCUCAGUCACCCAAAAGCCUCAUUCGUCAAACUAAAAUUUCCAGCAUUCAAACUCCUGUAAUAUAGUUUCCCAACAUCACAUUCAUUAGCCAUUUGGCUUCACAUGAUGACAUAGUUAACAUUCCAGGACAGUGUGUUCUGCAAGCAACAAGCAGUGUAACCUAAAAGUUACUUUUCCCUACUGUUCUCCUACAUUGUCUCACUUCAUAAACUAUGAAAAAAUAAAAUACUUUUUUUUUAAAAAACAAGCCCUUUUUAAUACAAUUCAGGGAUAGGAGGAGAAAAUAUUAAAGAUCUAAUACAACAUGGCAGAGUUUCCACCUUGGAUUCAGCUCAAAAUUGUGCUUGCUGUCUGAAGUUUCUUUGCUCAUGUUUCUGCUUGAAAACAUUUGCAUAUUGGCAAAUUUAAUUGUCUCUACAAAUCUGGGCAAUACUGCACAAUUUAGAAUGUCAAUGUAUUCUGUUUUUUUUUGUAGAAACUAAUAUUCUUCAACAUAUGUAGUUUGCUUAAUUUAUAUGAGGUUUAUUACUAUAGUGUUCCCGUCCACUACCUGAUUGUAAACAAUGAUAUUAAGCAAAACUCUACAGAGGCAUUUAUUAAUUUCACUGGGGUAUAGCUGUCGAUUUCCCGAGUGACAGAUAUUUUCCUGUAUUUAAAAAAAUUCUAAAACAUGCUCAUUUGUGAAUAAUGUUAUGAAUUUUCUUGAAGGCCAGUAAAAGGACAAGUGAAAAAAAAA